rnacentral:lncRNA from 1 species
UUUGGUCACAUCAAUGAGAAAAAUAACUAACACAGGAACCAUGUCAUAUAUUAGAGCUAUUCUGUUGCAGGAUAUUCCUUUAUGCUAUGUGAAGAUGUAGUUGUCUCGACCCACAGGACAGCAACCUAGAGCAAGAAGUCCAGGGAGGAGAAUGGGGACAAGAGACACGAGAGAAUGACCACAAGACAGGAUUCUGAUCAAGUGGUGGCCGAAAGGAAAGUCGUACUGCAUUAUUCUCAGCAUUAUAAUGUGCUCCCAGAGGAAAUGGCCGUUCUAUGCCCUCCAUCUCACCUGUAUUCCGAGGCUGACACCUUUCGAAUGAGAUGAUGGCCAGAGUAGGAGGGCUGGCUUAGGAAACUUUCUGGAGGUGACCACCAUAGGUUCACAUCAUAUGUAAAUAUUACCUGUUAGGCCUUAAUGUCUUGUAGGUAGCAAAAAGGCACUGAAUAUAUAAAGCCAAGCAUGGGGAUGAUAAUUCUAUAUUUCUAAAGACACUUGAAAGGGCUGGAGAGAUGGCUCAGUGAGUAAGACUAUGCUGUGUAGGCACGAGGAUCUGGGUUUGAAUCCCCACCACCCAAGUAAAGAACUGGAUGUGGUCAUACAAACACUUGUAUGCUCAACAUUGUGGGGCAGUGGGCAGGGACAGACAGGAGGCUUGCUGAGGCUUGCUGGUUACUCUCCUAGCUCCCAGUUCAGCAAAAGGUGUCAUUUCAAGGGCAUAAGGAAGACAGGAGUAGAACAAGACAUCCAAUGUCCACUUGUGGUCUUCAGUACCUGCACACACACACACACACACACACACACACACACACACACACACGAAUAUAAUGUGCACGUAAUAUAUCAGGGCAGUGGUGGAGGGACGGGGGAGACAGAUAAUUACUUGAAUUUUCAUGAAGAGGGGAAACUGGGGUACCUACAAAGUAGGGAGCUUCACAUAAAAUCUUCCAUACUUAAUUUUAAUACUUUUUGCUGUCUGGGGACCAAACCCAGAGCCUUGCAUAUGCUAGGCAAGUACUCUAUCU